rfam:Gossypium hirsutum cultivar TM-1 chromosome 17, whole genome shotgun sequence
UAUUAAAAAUUUCAUCCAUUUUUAUUAUUAAAAAUCGGUAUAGCGAUGGAAUAACCAAACAGUUAUGUAUCCAUGUAUACCUCAUGCUAACAUACAAGAACCAUCUUUUAACGAUACAAAUGGAGAAUUUUUUAACC